rnacentral:rRNA from 1 species
UACGUAGGGGGCAAGCGUUAUUCGGAAUUACUGGGCGUAAAGCGUGCGUAGGCGGUUUGCUAAGUCUGGUGUGAAAUCCCUGAACCCAAUUCAGGACGUGCAUUGGAUACUGGCAGACUAGAGUAUGGGAGAGGAAAGCGGAAUUCCAGGUGUAGAGGUGAAAUUCGUAGAUAUCUGGAGGAACAACAGAGGCGAAGGCGGCUUUCUGGACCAUUACUGACGCUGAGGCACGAAAGCGUGGGGAGCAAACAGG